CGAAAAACCGCUUCCCAUACGAUCACCGAAGUUAAGCAACGUCGAUCUUGGUUAGUACCUAGAUGAGUGAGCGCUUUGCAAUAUCAGCUGUUGUAAU